AGCAGUCGCCACGGUAAUACAGAGGGUGCGAGCGUUAAUCGGAUUUACUGGGCGUAAAGCGUGCGUAGGCGGCUUCUUAAGUCGGAUGUGAAAUCCCUGAGCUUAACUUAGGAAUUGCAUUCGAUACUGGGAAGCUAGAGUAUGGGAGAGGAUGGUAGAAUUCCAGGUGUAGCGGUGAAAUGCGUAGAGAUCUGAAGGAAUACCGAUGGCGAAGGCAGCCAUCUGGCCUAAUACUGACGCUGAGGUACGAAAGCAUGGGGAGCAAACAGGAUUAGAUACCCCCGUAGUCCCUGUCUCUUAUAC
rnacentral:rRNA from 1 species